CGAUAUGUAAGUUAGUGGCGGACGGGUGAGUAACGCGUGGGUAACCUGCCUUGUACUGGGGGACAACAGUUGGAAACGACUGCUAAUACCGCAUAAGCGCACAGCUUCGCAUGAAGCAGUGUGAAAAACUCCGGUGGUACAAGAUGGACCCGCGUCUGAUUAGCUGGUUGGUGAGGUAACGGCCCACCAAGGCGACGAUCAGUAGCCGGCCUGAGAGGGUGAACGGCCACAUUGGGACUGAGACACGGCCCAAACUCCUACGGGAGGCAGCAGUGGGGAAUAUUGCACAAUGGGGGAAACCCUGAUGCAGCAACGCUGCGUGAGUGAAGAAGUAUUUCGGUAUGUAAAGCUCUAUCAGCAGGAAAGAAAAUGACGGUACCUGACUAAGAAGCCCCGGCUAACUACGUGCCAGCAGCCGCGGUAAUACGUAGGGGGCAAGCGUUAUCCGGAUUUACUGGGUGUAAAGGGAGCGUAGACGGUUUUGCAAGUCUGAAGUGGAAGCCCGGGGCUUAACUCCGGGACUGCUUUGGAAACUGUAGAACUAGAGUGCAGGAGAGGUAAGUGGAAUUCCUAGUGUAGCGGUGAAAUGCGUAGAUAUUAGGAGGAACACCAGUGGCGAAGGCGGCUUACUGGACUGUAACUGACGUUGAGGCUCGAAAGCGUGGGGAGCAAACAGGAUUAGAUACCCUGGUAGUCCACGCCGUAAACGAUGAUUACUAGGUGUUGGUGGGUAUGACCCAUCGGUGCCGCAGCAAACGCAAUAAGUAAUCCACCU
rnacentral:rRNA from 1 species